CUGAGAUGAGCCCGACUGCAAAG
rnacentral:piRNA from 1 species